UCGAGGAUCUUCGGCAAUGGGCGCAAGCCUGACCGAGCGAUGCCGCGUGUGCGAUGAAGGCCUUCGGGUUGUAAAGCACUGUCGAGGGGGAGAAAGCCGCAAGGUUGAUCGACCCCUGGAGGAAGCACGGGCUAAGUUCGUGCCAGCAGCCGCGGUAAGACGAACCGUGCAAACGUUGUUCGGAUUCACUGGGCUUAAAGGGCGCGUAGGCGGGCCAUCAAGUCAGGGGUGAAAGCCCACGGCUCAACCGUGGAAGUGCCUUUGAUACGGAUGGCCUCGAGGGAGGUAGGGGCGUGCGGAACUUCCGGUGGAGCGGUGAAAUGCGUAGAUAUCGGAAGGAACGCCGGUGGCGAAAGCGGCGCGCUGGACCUCUUCUGACGCUGAGGCGCGAAAGCCAGGGGAGCAAACGGGAUUAGAUACCCCCGUAGUCC
rnacentral:rRNA from 1 species